GCCAGACUCCUACGGGAGGCAGCAGUGAGGAAUAUUGGUCAAUGGGCUUACGCCUGAACCAGCCAAGCCGCGUGAGGGAAGACGGCCCUAUGGGUUGUAAACCUCUUUUGUCGGAGAACAAAACCCGGGACGUGUCCCGGACUGCGUGUAUCCGAAGAAAAAGCAUCGGCUAACUCCGUGCCAGCAGCCGCGGUAAUACGGAGGAUGCGAGCGUUAUCCGGAUUUAUUGGGUUUAAAGGGUGCGUAGGCGGUCCGUUAAGUCAGCGGUAAAAUUGCGGGGCUCAACCCCGGCGAGCCGUUGAAACUGGCAGACUUGAGUUGGCGAGAAGUAUGCAGAAUGCGUGGUGUAGCGGUGAAAUGCAUAGAUAUCACGCAGAACUCCGAUUGCGAAGGCAGCAUACCGGCGCCCAACUGACGCUGAAGCACGAAAGCGUGGGGAGCAAACAGGAUUAGAUACCCGAGUAU
rnacentral:rRNA from 1 species